rnacentral:lncRNA from 1 species
GUCUGCUCUGGGACUUGGAACAAAAGGGGAAACUCUGAUGAACUCCUUCUCCAGCUCCCUGGACGCCCGAGUAUCUCUUUCUCGCAACUUUGUCAACGCGACUUUCUCCGCUGUCAGGCUGCGCAAAAGUAUCCUAGCGCCUCGCAGGCUGCAACAAUGGAAACAAUGUCCCUUCAAAGUGCGACGAAGUGGAGGGAGAAGGUGUCAUACCAGCGACUCCAAGAGUCAUGUCACCCACUUAGCAGGAGUACUUCUACUGAAAUGCCUUCGAAUUUCUCUUACUGGAUAUAUACCUACCAGCCGCUAGCAUGAAGAUGCCAGGACCGCUGCAAGUUAGCACUGGACAAAGUAGCAUCAACUUCUUCAUUUAGAGUUUCUUCAGUUAAAUUGCUGGGAUUUUCGACAAGGCUUUCCUUAUGUGGAUUAUUGGAGUGUGAUGCCCGAGAAUUCUCUACUUGUAGAAGCACGCCCACGGGACUGCAGAAGCCUUCACACCCACCCAGCACGCUCAGAAAGUACUGUCUUCAACCUUACCAAUGUCAGUGGCGGCGACGGUGGCGUCACCAUCACCAUCAGAGAAAAAGAAAUAUGCCUUUAUGUCAUGGGUUGAUGGCCUAACACUGGCUUAACACUCAUGUCGGCUGCACUAAUUGAAGUCACAUCCAAGUGGGUCAAUGCACUGAACAUAUCUGAUAUAGAAGGUCCCAGAUCCUGAAUUUUUAUCAAUGGUUUGCUGUAUAAGGCUUGCCUCCCAAAUAGCUGAGGACCCUUAUUUGGGAAGAUACGUUCUGAUGGUUAAGCAACAGCACAGAUGUCGAUGGGAAUGAGUGAUGGCCAUCCAGUGACCAGCUGGAUCUGACUGCCUUACAAGACGCAUGUGUAUGAUUAAGAGAGAGACAUUCGUGACUCCCAGAUGUACCUCCUUCCUGUCCCACAGUGUUCCUGAAGGGAGUGAGUUAUGGGGUAACUUAUAACACAGCAGGCUCUUCCUCAAGAUAGCUCUUGUCAAAACAGGAAGACGAAACUCGGGUUUCCAUGAGGAGACCACAGCUUGGGAUCCUGUCUGGAUGUACAAGCAGAAGCAUCUUCAUACUUUUCCAUUUCUAACCAUCAUGCCUCACCCCACCCUCCCAAGGCGACAUCUGCAGAGAGGUGGAACCAUCUAGGGAGGCCUGCCACUGUUUGCUGAGCUCCGGGUGAGGAUGAAGACACUUUGACAUGGCCAGCUUCAGACUCGGGAUCUGUCGGUGUUAGCAGCCGAAGGAGAAUGAGGAGGAAGAGGAGGAGAAAGAGGAGGAGGAAGUAAGACAGAGGGGGACAAGAGGACCAAGAGGGCACAUGGCUGAGGAGGAGGAGAACAACAACAACAACAACAACAACAACAACAACAAGAAGCUUGGUGUUUUCAGGAUGUGUUCCUGAGUCUCGUGAGUAGCACAUGGCAGUUGUUGUCACCUUGGGCUGAGCCGUGAAGAUUCUCACCCUCCCUUGUUGGGGAUGAACUCCGGGAUUCUAAGGAGAGGUCAGCAGGUGUUUCACAGACUGUUCCUGUUGGAGGAUUUGUCUGAUACUCUUCUCCUGAUUAGUCUGGGCUCUACAUUUCCCCAAGGGUGAAACUUGGAAGCCCUCUCCAGGAUGCAGCAGGUAGCUGAGGAGAAAACGAAGACUGACCAGCCCAGAGCUCAGAGCUUCCUCCCAUGCUCAGGAUUUACCACCAAUGCCAUUACAUCGGCCUCUUCUUGUAUGCCUCUGGAAACCACAUGUGUCCUCUGUUUGUAAUGGUUUGGCUAUGGUUGCUGGCCCCUCUUGGACAUUGUUUUCAGAACUUAAAGAAACAUUGCUUUAAAGAUUUAUUAGAACAUAUUUAAAAUAAAACCAUCUUCUCAUUUA